ACCAGUUUUGAAACUGCUCUGCAUUUCCCAAGAGAGAAGUAAAUAGUCCAGCUGAGCUGUUUCCACACUUCCUGCAUUUUGCCUUUGUUCUCUCCUGUGUGAUUUGAGAACGACGACUGCAUCAUGUGAGGCUGCAUGGUCAGAAACCAACACAGUCUUCUUACAAGUGUUGAGGAAAGAGGAAGAAAUGAUCUAAGAAAGCAAGAGG